ACCAUGGACUGGUCCCUAGUGACCUCCAGGGUCGCUGUUCUGAGAGCUUCAGGUAGGAGCUGCACCCCCGCCAGGGGUCGCUGUCCCCUCGCCAGUGCACUACAGCGACUCCACCCGGCGGUGAGUCCUUGGCCGCCCGCCAGGGGUCGCUGUCCCCCGGACCAGUGCACUACAGCUACUCCACCCGGCGGUGAGUCCUCGGCCGCCCGCCAGGGGUCGCUGUUCCCGCGAGAACCCCCGCCGAGGCCACGCCCCCGCGGUCGGUUGUCUUCCGCCGCACGGGAGGGAUCCGGCUCCACACUGCGGGACCGCGGGGCCGGGGCGGGUGUCUUCCCUGACGGACGCGACCUGCGUCCCGGCGGCGGCUGCUCGGCGACGCGCCAGGCCCAGCGUGCGAGCGGCCAGCCGGCCGGGCGCGCGCUCUCGGGUCGGGCUCGCCACACCCUCCGCCUCUCCCCCUCCCUCAGGAAACGACAGCUGCGCGGGGCUGGCGCCGCCUCCCGCCACCUCCCACGUCCGCCCCGCCGUCGCCCGGCGCCCCAGCCCCGCCGUCGCCGCCGCGGCGCCCCCCGCCUCCCCGCUAGCCCAGCCGGCGGCUCUGUCCCGCCGCCGCCGUCGCCCGGCAUGAACAUCAUGGAUUUCAACGUGAAGAAGCUGGCGGCCGACGCGGGCACCUUCCUCAGCCGGGCCGUGCAGUUCACAGAAGAGAAGCUUGGCCAAGCAGAGAAGACGGAAUUGGAUGCACACUUGGAAAACCUCCUUAGCAAAGCCGAAUGUACCAAAAUAUGGACAGAAAAGAUAAUGAAACAGACUGAAGUGCUUUUGCAGCCAAAUCCAAAUGCCAGGAUAGAAGAAUUUGUUUAUGAGAAACUGGAUAGAAAAGCACCAAGUCGCAUAAACAACCCAGAACUUCUGGGACAAUAUAUGAUUGAUGCCGGGACCGAGUUUGGCCCAGGGACAGCUUAUGGUAAUGCCCUUAUUAAAUGUGGAGAAACACAGAAACGAAUCGGAACAGCUGACAGAGAGUUGAUUCAAACAUCAGCCUUAAAUUUCCUCACUCCUUUAAGAAACUUUAUAGAAGGGGAUUACAAAACAAUCGCAAAAGAAAGAAAACUAUUACAGAAUAAGAGACUGGAUUUGGAUGCUGCAAAAACGAGACUUAAAAAGGCAAAAGCUGCAGAAACUAAAAGUUCUCAACUAAACUCCGCCCGCCUUGAAGGAGAUAGCAUUAUGGUAAAUUUCUCUUACAUGCUCAACUUCCUGCAUGUAAAAUGGCUGAAGGUUUGUUGGCCUACUGUGUUUUCUACAUCUUCAGUAAAAUGCCUUCUCUUGCUAUUAGCUACAUGUAGAAAUCUAAAAUAGCUAAAGUUAAUUAUUGAUUUUGUCUGGGGGAAAAAAUGCCACUUGAAGUGAUACUGAAACCUGAAGAUCUGCCAAAUUUGUAGGUCAUGUUAAAACAGAUUUUAAAAUCAUUGGUGUGUACAAAACAGAUGUUAAAAUUAUUGGUGUAUAAUGGUAUACUGCUCUUUUACAUUAGCAGAGAUGGUGGUUUAGGGUUAGUUUAGAUGCAGUUUCAUUGUGCUACUUGUAGCAGUGAAAAUCACCAAGAUUUACCUUACUUGGAAAACAGUAAAAGUAUGCAAAUUAACUUUGUUUUUUGUUUAAUAACUUCAAUAUUUACCAUAUUGUUAUUGAAAUUCAAUAUAGAAUUUUUUUUUCUGCCAUUCUAGGAUGAGACAAAUUCCCAUGGCCAGGGCUAUUCCUUAUCCAGUACAAACUCACUUAAAAUUUCAGAGUAGUGAUAGCCUGGAAUAAGAGAAUGAAAGUUGUUUAUAAUAACUAAUGUACACAUUGAGCUCAAAUUGAAGAAAGUUUUGAGAUGUUACAUUUGUUUUGGUUUUUGUUUUUUACUUUAAUAAAAUUAUGUGAAGAUAGGAAAAGAGUUAAUUCAUGUUAGCCUCUAGCAAUUUAUACUCCUUGGAGCUGGGUACAUGGUUCAGUCAGUAUAGUGCUUGCCACGCACUCAGGAGGACCUGGGUUUGGAUUCCCAGCACCCACAUAAAAAAAAUCCAUAUAUUGCAGUGCAUAUCAACAACCCCAGCACUGGAGGCCAGGGUAGAAAUGGGAAGGUCCCUAGUGCUAAUUGGUAAGCUCCAGGUUCAGUAAGAGACCCUGGUCAAACGUAAGGUGGAGAGCAGACAAGAAAGACACCUAAAGUCAAUCCCUACCCUCUACAUAUAUGCACCACUACCACCACCCCAUCAUGCACACACACACACACAUGCAAAUUAAUUCUUGGAAUUAUAGUAUAAAUAAGUUACUGCUAUUUAAAGUGAUAAGAAAUCAAUAGUCUACUUAAUAAUUAAUGGGUCAUUAAUUGCUUUUAUUCUAUUAGCAUUGAAUUAAAACAUGAAAAAUAAACCUGAUGUUUUGGAAUUUGCCUUUGUUCCCAACUGUUAAUUUUUGAAGUCCUGGCUAAAUUACAGCUUUUGUUAUAUAGCAAGAGAACGUAUUAUUUAUUUCCAUUUUCCUAUCUAUAGGUAAUUGAAAAGGGUGAGACUAUUUCAGUCAUUUUUAAUUUUGUAUAAAUCAGGUUUUCUUUUGUCCAUGGUAAAAAUAUCUUAAACAAUUUGCAAAACUUUGCUUGAUUUAUUAAUAGCAUUUGUUUUACAGUCAUUUAUCAUCUACUUACAUUAAGAUCUUUAACUGGCAACCUUAAAUUUAUUAUAUUUCAAAUUGAUUGUUUCUAAAAAAAAUGGUUGUAUCAGUAACAUUCAAUGUCUAUAUAUCCUUUUAUUUACUAAAAUUUUAGAAUUUAUACCUGAAAGAAAAGUUAGAAAUCAUGCAGUUCAAACCUCUCAUUUUAUAUUAGAGACUCUGUCGGUUUUCUAUGAAAGGUCAGAUAUUCUCAAUUUGCGAAAACUUAAGUUAUUAUCUGUAGAGUUAUAAUAUUUUGAAGUUGGUAGUAUUGAUGAAUAUAAAAGGCAGACUUCAAAAUAUAUUCAGCUAUACUGAAUUACAUUACUAUUGUGUUCACUUUAUAAGGGGGCGACUAUGCCAUUUAAAUUAUAUACAUUUUUCUAUACUAAGUUGUAGGAAAUGUUAAAUUCCAACUUCAUUUCAUGCUCUAAAAUUCUCUCUAAUUUUUAAUGCUGGCUAGAUUUGGGCAGAGGAAGUGACAAAAUCUGAACAGGAAUUACGAAUAACUCAAAGUGAAUUUGAUCGUCAAGCAGAGAUUACCCGACUUCUGCUAGAGGGAAUCAGCAGUACACAC